rnacentral:rRNA from 1 species
AAAUUGAAGAGUUUGAUCAUGGCUCAGAUUGAACGCUGGCGGCAGGCCUAACACAUGCAAGUCGAACGGUAACAGGAAGCAGCUUGCUGCUUUGCUGACGAGUGGCGGACGGGUGAGUAAUGUCUGGGAAACUGCCUGAUGGAGGGGGAUAACUACUGGAAACGGUGGCUAAUACCGCAUAACGUCGCAAGACCAAAGAGGGGGACCUUCGGGCCUCUUGCCAUCAGAUGUGCCCAGAUGGGAUUAGCUUGUUGGUGAGGUAACGGCUCACCAAGGCGACGAUCCCUAGCUGGUCUGAGAGGAUGACCAGCCACACUGGAACUGAGACACGGUCCAGACUCCUACGGGAGGCAGCAGUGGGGAAUAUUGCACAAUGGGCGCAAGCCUGAUGCAGCCAUGCCGCGUGUAUGAAGAAGGCCUUCGGGUUGUAAAGUACUUUCAGCGGGGAGGAAGGUGUUGUGGUUAAUAACCGCAGCAAUUGACGUUACCCGCAGAAGAAGCACCGGCUAACUCCGUGCCAGCAGCCGCGGUAAUACGGAGGGUGCAAGCGUUAAUCGGAAUUACUGGGCGUAAAGCGCACGCAGGCGGUCUGUCAAGUCGGAUGUGAAAUCCCCGGGCUCAACCUGGGAACUGCAUUCGAAACUGGCAGGCUUGAGUCUUGUAGAGGGGGGUAGAAUUCCAGGUGUAGCGGUGAAAUGCGUAGAGAUCUGGAGGAAUACCGGUGGCGAAGGCGGCCCCCUGGACAAAGACUGACGCUCAGGUGCGAAAGCGUGGGGAGCAAACAGGAUUAGAUACCCUGGUAGUCCACGCCGUAAACGAUGUCUACUUGGAGGUUGUGCCCUUGAGGCGUGGCUUCCGGAGCUAACGCGUUAAGUAGACCGCCUGGGGAGUACGGCCGCAAGGUUAAAACUCAAAUGAAUUGACGGGGGCCCGCACAAGCGGUGGAGCAUGUGGUUUAAUUCGAUGCAACGCGAAGAACCUUACCUGGUCUUGACAUCCACAGAACUUUCCAGAGAUGGAUUGGUGCCUUCGGGAACUGUGAGACAGGUGCUGCAUGGCUGUCGUCAGCUCGUGUUGUGAAAUGUUGGGUUAAGUCCCGCAACGAGCGCAACCCUUAUCCUUUGUUGCCAGCGGUCAGGCCGGGAACUCAAAGGAGACUGCCAGUGAUAAACUGGAGGAAGGUGGGGAUGACGUCAAGUCAUCAUGGCCCUUACGACCAGGGCUACACACGUGCUACAAUGGCGCAUACAAAGAGAAGCGACCUCGCGAGAGCAAGCGGACCUCAUAAAGUGCGUCGUAGUCCGGAUUGGAGUCUGCAACUCGACUCCAUGAAGUCGGAAUCGCUAGUAAUCGUGGAUCAGAAUGCCACGGUGAAUACGUUCCCGGGCCUUGUACACACCGCCCGUCACACCAUGGGAGUGGGUUGCAAAAGAAGUAGGUAGCUUAACCUUCGGGAGGGCGCUUACCACUUUGUGAUUCAUGACUGGGGUGAAGUCGUAACAAGGUAACCGUAGGGGAACCUGCGGUUGGAUCACCUCCUUACCUUAAAGAAGC